rnacentral:rRNA from 1 species
GUAGGUGGCAAGCGUUGUCCGGAAUUAUUGGGCGUAAAGCGCGCGCAGGCGGGUCCUUUAAGUCUGAUGUGAAAGCCCGCGGGCUCAACCGUGGAGGGUCAUUGGAAACUGAGGGACUUGAGUACAGAAGAGGAAAGCGGAAUUCCACGUGUAGCGGUGAAAUGCGUAGAGAUGUGGAGGAACACCAGAGGCGAAGGCGGCUUUCUGGUCUGUAACUGACGCUGAGGCGCGAAAGCGUGGGGAGCAAACAGGAUUAGAUACCCUGGUAGUCCACGCCGUAAACGAUGAGUGCUAAGUGUUAGGGGGUUUCCGCCCCUUAGUGCUGCAGCUAACGCAUUAAGCACUCCGCCUGGGGAGUACGACCGCAAGGUUG